rnacentral:rRNA from 1 species
UUGAACGCUGGCGGCAGGCCUAACACCUGCAAGUCGAACGGUAACAGGAAGCAGCUUGCUGCUUUGCUGACGAGUGGCGGACGGGUGAGUAAUGUCUGGGAAACUGCCUGAUGGAGGGGGAUAACUACUGGAAACGGUAGCUAAUACCGCAUAACGUCGCAAGACCAAAGAGGGGGACCUUAGGGCCUCUUGCCAUCGGAUGUGCCCAGAUGGGAUUAGCUAGUAGGUGGGGUAACGGCUCACCUAGGCGACGAUCCCUAGCUGGUCUGAGAGGAUGACCAGCCACACUGGAACUGAGACACGGUCCAGACUCCUACGGGAGGCAGCAGUGGGGAAUAUUGCACAAUGGGCGCAAGCCUGAUGCAGCCAUGCCGCGUGUAUGAAGAAGGCCUUCGGGUUGUAAAGUACUUUCAGCGGGGAGGAAGGGAGUAAAGUUAAUACCUUUGCUCAUUGACGUUACCCGCAGAAGAAGCACCGGCUAACUCCGUG